ACUCCGGUGGACAUUCUAGAAAGACCCCCACUCUAAAAAAUGACUACGAGUAACAUUUUCCUCUUCUUCCCUAGUAUAGUAUUGUCUCAAAGCCCUAAUCCAAGUUAUGGAAAUCUCCAAUUUCACUAAAUUCAAUCAAUACAUAUUUUCCUUCAACAGGUAUUUCUUAUGAUUUAAAUUUCUUAUCUAUGCGACCUUAAUUUGUGUUUGUAAUCCUUUUCUACUUUACUUGAAUUUGGGGAUUAGUGAAUUUUGAUUGAAAAAAUUGAAUUUAUAUUUGGGUUAGGGCUUUGAUUUGAAGGUGUACGAACUAAUUCAUGGCGUCGAAGCGCAUAUUGAAGGAGCUUAAGGAUCUGUUGAAGGAUCCUCGAAAGCUAAUUCGGAAAUGAAAGAAAUCACCCACAUUAUGCGGCACUGGUAUGUCGGCUCUACAUCCUAUUUUCCCUCCCACUUCCACAUCCUUUUGAUUUUCUGAAUUUGUCUUGAUUGUUAACUCGCCUUAAAUAAAAUAUGGUGUGGUCUUAUUUUUCACUAUAAAUACGACACCUCUUAUUAUACAAGGGAUAGACUUUGAAGUUCGAUAAUUUUUCAUACUCAUUGCUUAAGAAAUGCUACUGGCCAAGACUCCUUAUUGUGAAACUGCUUCUAUUUUACUGAUCAUUAGUGCUCUGCUGAAGUAAUUUAAAUUUAAACGUGAUAAUUCUUGCUGGGGUAGAAAGGAUUCAGGUAUGUUUCUAGACCUUAUGUGUGCCUAGUUUUUGGUUUAAUGGGUGCAAUAUGGGAGAACUGAUCUCUAUUAUGCUGAUAUGGAUACUAAUAUCGUUUAUGUUUUAUGGGGAAAUAGCCUCUCUACCUUUGAGGUAGGAGUAAGGUUUGCAUAAACUUAUUUUACCCGCUGCCGAGCUCUAUCCUGGCCGAAUUCCUUAAUAGCCGAAUGCAUAUUGAAUUACUUGUCGAGCUUCAAUACAUUCCUCUCUUAUAAUAUUCUGCUUUGCUAGAAGAUGGAUGUGCAACUGCAACAUAACAGUUAGAAGCUUGAUACUUCUUAGUGUGCACUUAUGUGAGGCAAAAUUUUAUCAAUUAAAGGUGCAGUGGUCGACGUCCGGCAAUGGUGUUACCAACUUAAUAAAUGGAUAGAUACGAAAAAGUUUAUAAUAUGGUGUAAGACUUUCCAGUUUCUGUUAAUUAUCUCAUGUUAAGUUUUCUUAUCAUAAAUUUAGAUAAAUUAUUGAGCCUUUAAGUAUGUAUUUUGUUUUUACAUAGCUAAGAUAAGGCAACAUCUUGUACCAAAAGUAAAAGCACCACAAGAUUUGGCAAUGUCAUUACUUACCCGUCCCCUAAGAAUAACAUAGUUUAUUUACCACAAUACUACGCCUUAGUACCAAAUGAUUAGUGUUGACAAUGAAAUAGUUUGUUCAAAAUGAUCAAACAGUUUAGCUUCAAGAUGAACUCCAAAGUCCAUGUACUCUACAUGUGGAGAAAACUGAUGUAUUAACAUUUCCUCUAAGAAUUUAUUACAAUUCUCAUUAUCCCAAGAAAUAUUAAUAUGAUUGGAAAUUUCUUUUGUGUUGUGUAUUAACAAACUUCUAAUGAAACCUAUCUACAAUAUGUGCAUGAACUCUUUUGGACAAAUAUGUGGUUCGUGAUGUGAUUCUCUACGGAAAACAACAUCUCUGCCUUUCAAUGAAGGGGUAAGGAUUGCAUAAACAUUACCUUGUCCAGACCCCAGUUGUGGGAUUACACUGGGUAUGUUGUUUGUUGUUGAAUUGAGUUUUCUUUCCGUAAAUCAUCGCACCGAUGGUCUCUGAUUCAAGUUCAGGAUAACCCAACUACACAAAGAAACCGUCCAUAAAGUACUUUUUGGGAGAGAUUCAUCCUUCUUGAACGCAAUAUUAGACUCUCCACCAAGUGUGCUUGUUCUCCCUCCCCCUCCUCUUGUUUCUUAUCUUGACAAGUCUUUAUGAAAUAACUCUGAUGAAAAGAAAAAAGAAAGUGUUAAAGAGAAAUUCGUAUUUCUCACCUACUCAGACUAGUUGUUAGACUAACCAUUUCACUUUUUUUUUUUGGUUAAACUACCUAUUGGUAGUUCUGUACACGUGUUUUAGCAAAUUAAAAAUUGCUCUCUGUACACGUCUAGUUGAAAAAUUCUCAUUCUUAUUUAGAAUGAAAGGAUUUUUCAUGAAGAUGCAUUAGUAUUUGAAUCUUGUAAAUUUCUCGUUGAUUUAUUGUUAUCAUUAUAACUUGUUUCAAAAGUA
rnacentral:lncRNA from 1 species